CAGGAGUGAAGCAGCUGUGUGGUUUUCUGGAGAGUCCAGGAUGUGGCCUUGAAACUCUGAGGUUGGGGGACUGUGGUUUUUCAGAGAUCAGCUGUGAUUAUCUGGCAGCAGCACUGAAGUCCAACCCCUCCCAUCUGAGAGAGCUGGACCUGAGUGAGAACAACCUGCAGGAUACAGGAGUGAAGCAUCUGUGUGGUUUUCUAGAGAGUCCAGGAUGUGGACUUGAAUCUCUGAGAUUGGAAAACUGUGGUUUUUCAGAGAUCAGCUGUGAUUAUCUGGCAGCAGCACUGAAGUCCAACCCCUCCCAUCUGAGAAAGCUGGACCUGAGAGGGAACUACAGCCUGAAACAUCGAGAUGUGAAGCAGCUGUCUGAUCUCAAGAAGAGUCCAGACUGCAGACUGGAGACUCUCUGGUGGGGCUACUUGUAAACAGGAUGGUGUGUGUGCUGAAAGAGGAGCAGCUGUGUCCUGAUGAUCCAGAGAGGUUGAAGCAGCAGCAGCUUGUGUGUAGAGACGCUCUGACUGGGCCAUGUUACUGGGAGGUGGAGUGGAGAGCUUCAUCCAGCAGUGACUGACAG